rnacentral:tRNA from 1 species
AAAGAAUUAGUUAAAUUUAUAACAUUAAAUUGUCAAUUUAAAAUUAUUAAAAAAAUAAUAAUCUUUC